UCCGAACUGGUGUAUCGGUAACAUAUCCGCCUCUCAUGAUCACUGAUCAGAAGCCCGCGGUUGCGCGGGGUUCGACUCCCCGGUUCGGAA